rnacentral:rRNA from 1 species
UACGUAGGGCGCAAGCGUUAUCCGGAAUUACUGGGCGUAAAGAGCUCGUAGGUGGUUUGUCGCGUUGUUCGUGAAAACUCACAGCUUAACUGUGGGCGUGCGGGCGAUACGGGCAGACUUGAGUACUGCAGGGGAGACUGGAAUUCCUGGUGUAGCGGUGGAAUGCGCAGAUAUCAGGAGGAACACCGGUGGCGAAGGCGGGUCUCUGGGCAGUAACUGACGCUGAGGAGCGAAAGCGUGGGGAGCAAACAGG